CCGGUAUAUCGGGCACAAGCAUGUCAAUGAGCCAGGAUAUGGAGAACACAAAAUGCUAUCGCAAAAGAGAGAAAAACUGUUUUGAUUCUCAUGAACGAGGUCAUGCGAAGUGGAUGGACUCGGAGCUGCACCGAAUUUGAGGCGAAAUUAGGCACCUUCGGCCCUUACCGUCUCAUAUUGAACACCAAUGUAAACAGAUACCCGGAUGAGGGUCGUACGCGAUAUCACGAGCAGGACGGGGAAAAGCUGUGCGGCCCCGCGAGAUGCAAGCAAAGCAGAAAGAGAGUAGCACUUAAAUGAUAAAAUGCCUAUUGGCGGAAAAUGUAUGACCCUUGGUUAUAACCCCGAGCCAAAUGUUUUCUGUUCGGCGUUCCCACUCAGUCAAUAAGUAUUGUGUAAAAUACGUACAUAUCAGUUUCCAGUGCUAAAUAGUUAAUAAUCAUCGGCAACAUAAUGAUGAGAGUAGACGUGAAUCAUGACGUGUAUUUUAGUUGCUGGUGCUUCCAAAUGACCAGGGGGACCCUUAGUUCUUAUUAAAAAUCAAUUGAAAUAUUUUGGCGAAAGUCUCGCUCAGAGGAAAGAUCUAAUGAAGGAUUGAAACAUCCUCUGUCAGAAUACUUUGCACGAUAAGUAUGUAAUCGUUUUUGGUGACCAUGCCACAUUCAUUUCGCUGUCCAUUUCAAAACGAUAUGAUUGUGCCAACGUCCAGAAGUUCCUGUAGCUUUUAAGUUUCCACUUUAAUGGCCGGAAAUUGUAACCGACGGGCUGUUUGGCCGAGAGCUGGUCUCUGCGCAUUGAUCACUGUCCUGCCAUUUAAUAAAUUUCUUAUCCUUAACACAUUUGCGUUGGAUUGCUCAGGUUUUAGUUUUCAUGCGUUCCUGAGUACUUUUCUUUUGAAUAAAGAUUACAGUACACAACAACCAGAAUUUUUAUCACACGUUUGGUGGUGGCAUUAUGGUGGGUGAUCUCUUGGUCGUUAGGUACCUACGGUUGACUGUUUUUUUUCCCUAUCGUGUUUAACAAAUUCAUGAGAGUUUAAG